GAUGAACGCUGGCGGCGUGCCUAAUACAUGCAAGUCGAGCGAACAGACGAGGAGCUGGCUCCUCUUACUUUAGCCGCGGACGGGUGAGUAACACGUGGAUAACCUACCUAUAAGACUGGGAUAACUGCGAGAAACCGGAGCUAAUACCGUAUAAUAUUUUGAACCGCAUUGUUCAAUAGUGAAAGACGUUUUUGCUUUCACUUAUAGAUGGAUCCGCGCCGCAUUAGCUAGUUGGUAAGGUAACGGCUUACCAAGGCAACGAUGCGUAGCCGACCUGAGAGGGGGAUAGGCCCAAAUGGAAAUGAGAAAAGGUCCAGAACACUAAGGGAGGCCGCAGUAGGGAAUCUUCCGCAAUGGGCGGAAGCCUGACGGAGCAAAGGCGCGGGAGUGAUGAAGGUCUUCGGAUCGUAAAACUCUGUUAUUAGGGAAGAACAAAUGUGUAAGUAACUAUGCACGUCUUGACGGUACCUAAUCAGAAAGCCACGGCUAACUACGUG
rnacentral:rRNA from 1 species